AGCGCCGCGUGGCUCCUCGUCAGGGAUUGGAUUUGAAGGUGUUCAGUGCGCCGAGAGUGGGGCAGGUUUCUGCGUGGGUCCUCGUCCCAGUUCUGGGGCAUGUAGAGGACAGUCAGGUGUCAUUACCUCCGUUCACUGAAGGAUGGCACGUACUAUGGAACCACUAGCAAAGAAGAUCUUUAAAGGAGUUUUGGUAGCCGAACUUUUAGGCAUUUUUGGAGCAUAUUUUUUGUUUACCAAGAUGCACGGAAGCCAAGAUUUUAGGCAAACAAUGAGCAAGAAAUUUCCCUUCAUCUUGAAAGUUUAUUACAGAUCCACUGAGAUGUCUGGAAUAUAUGGAAUCAGAGAGCUAGAUGAAAAAAAAUGGUUGGAGAGCAAAAAUUAGAUCCAGUCAUCACGUUCGGCCUCCCAUCUAAGCUGUUUGAGACCUUUGGGAGAAGAAGAAAAGAUGAGUGUACUAUCCCACUGUUGGCGGUCCCACAGAACAUGCUGCUGAGUCACAGGAACUUCUAGCCUGCCUUGGCCUGCAGUUUCCCACCCACAAUACAAAUUCACUACUUCUUGUUUGUUGCUUUUCUUCUUAUAUUUAUUGUCAAAGAUUAAUGUUUCAUUAAGAAAUGACUAAGGAAUGAAAAUAAACAGAUGCUCUAAAGAUUUUCUUUCCCUAAGCACUUUUACUGGUGAAAUAAAAACCAAUUAACAGUCAAUAUCAGAGAUAAUUAAAAUGUCUAUAAACAUGUAAAGUUACUUAGCAAAUUCAUGCUAUAUAAAAAUGGCCUACCUCCCUAAAAAAAAGUAAUUUUUGUAGUCUGCAGGUUUUUUUUUUGCUGUAGUAUAAACUUUUUAAUCUUAUAUUCUCUCUGAGAGAAGAAAAAGCCAUGGUUGUAAAGUACCAUGAAAAGGUUUUCAAAAAUAUUCCUAUCAGCCAGGCCUGGUGGUUCAUGCUUGUAAUCCCAGCACUUUGGGAGGCUGAGGUGGGUGGGUCACUUGAGUUCAAGAUCAGCCUGGUCAAAAUCGUGAAACCCCUUCUCUACUAAAAAUACAGAAAGUAGCUGGACAUGGUGGUUUAUGCCCGUAAUGCCAGCUACCACUUGGGAGCUGAGGCAGGAGAAUUGCUUGAACCUGGGAGGCAGAAGUUGCAAUGAGCUGAGAUCAUACCACUGCACUCUAGCCUGGGUGACAGAGCGAGACUUUGCCUCAAAAAAAGAAAAAAAAAAUUUCUAUCUUCUGACGUCCUAAGCCAAAGCUGUUUUUAAAAUGUCAAUAAAAAAAUUUAAGUUACUUACUUGCAUUAUCUUUGUUAGCCAUGGCAUUCAUGCCAAUGUUAUCAAACUUGGAUCCCAUAUUUUCAUCCAAUAGAUGGCCAAACUUAAAAAAAAAAAAAGAUAAAUAUAUUAGCAAACCAAAAAUAAUGUAGAAUAGCUAGCUUAAAGCAGUGUAUUAGCCUUACCUCUUCAGCAGAUACAAAUAGGCUGGAAUCACUGAAGUUUCUUUUCUUUUUUCUAGGCCCUAAAAUAAAUUAUAAGUCUACAUUAUUGAAUUACAAAUCCAAUGAUUUUAGAAAAAAACCAAUGCAACAUGAUUUUAUUUUAAAAAUUAUACUUGGGUAAAAACACAAUUGCAAUAAUCUUAUAGCACCAUUAGGUAGCUGGCAUUUAAAUAAAUAAAUAUAAUUCAAAAGUUAGUAUAUACUAUUUUUAAAAAUUUAACAUCCUAAUAGAACUGUUCAGAUGCCAAUAGUGUCUUCUUGCUUUUCAAAUACGGCCACAGAUCGAAGUUUCCCAUAAGGGAACUAACAUCAUAUCAAGGAAGAGUAAAAUUAUCAAGAUGACAUGGAUGUGUUUUGAAAUAUUUAAGACAAAACAUAAAAUUUAAUUCAGGGGUCUUAUUCUUUAAUUUGUAAAGAAACUGAAAGUAUGUUUAUUAGACUAUAAAUGAAGUUCUGUUUAUAACACUGAAAAUAAAGAGUUUCUUCUUAAAAAAAAAAAAAACUUACCUAUAGUACUGAAUAUAUAAACUUUUCCUGAAAAGUUUCACUUUAUUUUUGAAACAAUUAUUCAAACAGCAUUUUUGAUAUCAAUGUCUCUAGCAAUACUAGAGCCACAUUUUAAAGAGAACUUUACUAGGCCGGGCAUGGUGGUUCACGCCUGUAAUCCCAGCACUUUGGGAGGCCAAGGGGGGCAGAUCACAAGGUUAGGAGUUUGAGACCAGCCCAGCCAAUAUGGGGAAACCCCAUCUUUACUAAAAAUACAAAAAUUAGCCUGAGAUGGUGGCGGGUGCCUAUAGUCCCAGCUCUGUGGGCGGCUGAGGCAGAGCUGCAGUGAGCCAAAAUUGUGCCACUGCACUCCAGCCUGGGUGACAGAGUGAGACUCCAUCUCAAAAAAAAACAAAAACAAAAACAAAAAACACCUUUACUAAAGAAUAAUUGCACAUCAUAACAUCCAGCUGUUAAGUGUAUUAAUUCAAUGCAUUUUAGUAAAUUUACAGACUUGUUCAACUACAACCAGUCUGAUUUUAGAAUAUUUCCAUCAACUUGAAAAGAUCCCUGGUGCCAUUUGUAGUCCUCUAACCCAUCCUCAAUCUAUCUUGUUUUGAUGACUUGCCUUUUCUGGCUAUUUCAUAUAAAUGGGAUCAUAUGACAUGUGGUUUCCCUGUAUCUGGCUUUUUCAUUUUGCAUAACGUUUCUGAGGCUCAUCCAUGUUGUAGCACAUAUCAGUACUCCAUGCCAUUUUGUGGGCUGCAUAAUACUCCACUGUAUAGAUAUACCACAUUUUGCUUAUCAGUUAAGGGACAUUUGGGUUGUGACCAUUUUUUGUCAUUAAUAGUCACUAUCAGCAAUCAUAUACAAGUCUUUGUAUCAGAAUCACUUUUGAUAAAAUAGUUUAUAAAGCAUUUCAUCUUCAUUUUUAUUAAGGUGAAAUGUAUGUUACUUAACUGUAUAAUACACAUUUGCAUGCAUUAAGAAGGUUUUUUUGUUUUUAUUCAUAUUGUAGUGAUGUAUCUGUGACUUCAAUAAGUAGGUACUUCUGUACUGCACUGGUUUCUUAAAAUUUCUUUCUUUUUCCCCCCUACCUCAGCCUCAGGUGUAUACUACCAUGCUUGGCUAAUUUUUGAUUUUUUGUAGAGAUGUGGUCUCACUAUGUUGCCCAGGCUGAUUAAAGUUUCCAUAAGGUAUGUUUAUUCUUAAGGAUAUUUAACACCUGCAAAUGUAGGAUGAUCAACUGGUAAAUUAAUAAAUCUGUUUAAAAUUU